GCCCAGGUGGCGGAAUUGGUAGACGCGCAGGCUUCAGGUGUCUGUGGGGGCAACCCCGUGGAAGUUCGAGUCUUCUCCUGGGCACCA
rnacentral:tRNA from 1 species